UGGGGAAUCUUGCACAAUGGGCGAAAGCCUGAUGCAGCAACGCCGCGUGCGGGAAGAAGGCCCUCGGGUUGUAAACCGCUUUCAGAAGGAACGAAACUGACGGUACUUUCAGAAGAAGGUGCGGCCAACUACGUGCCAGCAGCCGCGGUGACACGUAGGCACCAAGCGUUGUCCGGAUUUAUUGGGCGUAAAGAGCUCGUAGGCGGUUCAGUAAGUCGGGUGUCCCGAAAACUUUGGGCUUAACCCAAAGCGUGCAUCCGAUACUGCUGUGACUUGAGUACGGUAGGGGAGCGGGGAAUUCCUAGUGUAGCGGUGAAAUGCGCAGAUAUUAGGAGGAACACCGGUGGCGAAGGCGCCGCUCUGGGCCGAAACUGACGCUGAGGAGCGAAAGCAUGGGUAGCAAA
rnacentral:rRNA from 1 species